rnacentral:rRNA from 1 species
UACGGGGGGAGCAAGCGUUGUUCGGAUUUAUUGGGCGUAAAGAGCGUGUAGGCGGCCAGAUAGGUCUGCUGUGAAAACUCGAGGCUCAACCUCGAGAUGUCGGCGGAAACCAUUUGGCUAGAGUCCGGAAGAGGAAAGUGGAAUUCCUGGUGUAGCGGUGAAAUGCGCAGAUAUCAGGAAGAACACCCGUGGCGAAGGGGGCUUUCUGGGACGGUACUGACGCUGAGACGCGAAAGCGUGGGGAGCGAACAGG